AACGAACGCUGGCGGCAUGCCUAACACAUGCAAGUCGAACGAGACCUUCGGGUCGAGUGGCGCACGGGUGCGUAACGCGUGGGAACCUGCCCUUAGGUUCGGAAGAACUCCCCGAAAGGGGUGCUAAUACCGGAUAAUGUCUUCGGACCAAAGAUUUAUCGCCUUUGGAUGGGCCCGCGUUGGAUUAGCUAGUUGGUAGGGUAAAAGCCUACCAAGGCGACGAUCCAUAGCUGGUCUGAGAGGAUGAUCAGCCACACUGGGACUGAGACACGGCCCAGACUCCUACGGGAGGCAGCAGUGGGGAAUAUUGGACAAUGGGCGAAAGCCUGAUCCAGCAAUGCCGCGUGAGUGAUGAAGGCCUUAGGGUUGUAAAGCUCUUUUACCCGGGAUGAUAAUGACAGUACCGGGAGAAUAAGCUCCGGCUAACUCCGUG
rnacentral:rRNA from 1 species